GGCAAGAUGGCCGAGUGGUCUAAGGCGUGUGACUCAAGCGAAAGCUUGCCAGCGACAGUUGGUUUCUCAUGGUGAAUAACCGCGUGGGUUCGAAUCCCACUCUUGUCA
rfam:Phlebia centrifuga strain FBCC195 PHLCENscaffold_2004, whole genome shotgun sequence.